CACGCGCGCUAUACUGAUGAAGUCAACGARUUCAACAUCCUUGGCCGGAAGGUCUGGGUAAUCUUGUGAAACUUCAUCGUGCUGGGGAUAGAGCAUUGCAAUUAUUGCUCUUCAACGAGGAAUCCCUAGUAAGCGUGAGUCAUCAGCUCGCGUUGAUUACGUCCCUGCCCUUUGUACACACCGCCCGUCGCUACUACCGAUUGAACGGCUUAGUGAGACUCUCGGAUUGGCUUAUGGUAGCUGGCAACAGCUUGCCGUUGGCUGAGAAG
rnacentral:rRNA from 1 species